AAAUAUCUGAAUGGAAAUCAUUAAAACAAGAGUGAUAUAGACAAGCUGCGCAGAGGGAUACAACGUGGGUCACACGAGCAAUGAUUUUCUUUCUGUUGAUCAAUGUUGUCUUGUCAAAAGAAUUUCAAGAUAAUGCAAUCCAGGAGACACACAAUGGCAGGAACCCACAGGGGAAUCAAGGUAAGUUUCCAUGUAAAUGAUAAACCAAUGAUAAAGGAGCAGUUGACAUUGGAAUCAUUUAAA